rnacentral:tRNA from 1 species
GGUCGUGGCUCAGUGGUACAGCACUUGCCUCACAAGUGUGAGGCACUGAGUUCAAUCCUCAGCACCG